UACGAAGGGGGCUAGCGUUGUUCGGAAUUACUGGGCGUAAAGCGUAUGCAGGCGGACUUUUAAGUCGGGGGGUGAAAUCCCGAGGCUCAACCUCGGAACUGCCUUCGAUACUGGAAGUCUUGAGUCCGGGAGAGGUGAGUGGAACUCCGAGUGUAGAGGUGAAAUUCGUAGAUAUUCGGAAGAACACCGAGUGGCGAAGGCGGGCUCACUGGCCCGGUACUGGACGCUGAGGAGCGAAAGCCAGGGGGAGCAAACGGG
rnacentral:rRNA from 1 species